rnacentral:rRNA from 1 species
GACGAACGCUGGCGGCGUGCCUAAUACAUGCAAGUCGAGCGAGCGGCGGACGGGUGAGUAAUGUAUGGGGAUCUGCCCGAUAGAGGGGGAUAACUACUGGAGACGGUGGCUAAUACCGCAUACUAUCGGAUGAACCCAUAUGGGAUUAGCUAGUAGGUGGGGUAAAGGCUCACCUAGGCGACGAUCUCUAGCUGGUCUGAGAGGAUGAUCAGCCACACUGGGACUGAGACACGGCCCAGACUCCUACGGGAGGCAGCAGUGGGGAAUAUUGCACAAUGGGCGCAAGCCUGAUGCAGCCAUGCCGCGUGUAUGAAGAAGGCCUUAGGGUUGUAAAGUACUUUCAGCGGGGAGGCGUUACCCGCAGAAGAAGCACCGGCUAACUCCGUGCCAGCAGCCGCGGUAAUUC